AUUGAACGCUGGCGGCAUGCCUUACACAUGCAAGUCGAACGGUAACGGGCCUUCGGGUGCCGACGAGUGGCGAACGGGUGAGUAAUGUAUCGGAACGUACCUUUCAGUGGGGGAUAACGUAGCGAAAGUUACGCUAAUACCGCAUAUUCUGUGAGCAGGAAAGCAGGGGAUCGCAAGACCUUGCGCUGAUUGAGCGGCCGAUAUCAGAUUAGCUAGUUGGUGAGGUAAAGGCUCACCAAGGCGACGAUCUGUAGCGGGUCUGGGAGGAUGAUCCGCCACACUGGAACUGAGACACGGUCCAGACUCCUACGGGAGGCAGCAGUGGGGAAUUUUGGACAAUGGGGGCAACCCUGAUCCAGCCAUGCCGCGUGAGUGAAGAAGGCCUUCGGGUUGUAACGCUCUUUCGGCCGGGAAGAAAUCGUAUCAGCUAAUACCUGGUGCGGAUGACGGUACCGGCAUAAGAAGCACCGGCUAACUACGUGCCAGCAGCCGCGGUAAUAC
rnacentral:rRNA from 1 species